rnacentral:rRNA from 1 species
UUAAGCGACUAAGCGUACACGGUGGAUGCCCUGGCAGUCAGAGGCGAUGAAGGACGUGCUAAUCUGCGAUAAGCGUCGGUAAGGUGAUAUGAACCGUUAUAACCGGCGAUUUCCGAAUGGGGAAACCCAGUGUGAUUCGUCACACUAUCAUUAACUGAAUCCAUAGGUUAAUGAGGCGAACCGGGGGAACUGAAACAUCUAAGUACCCCGAGGAAAAGAAAUCAACCGAGAUUCCCCCAGUAGCGGCGAGCGAACGGGGAGCAGCCCAGAGCCUGAAUCAGUGUGUGUGUUAGUGGAAGCGUCUGGAAAGGCGUGCGAUACAGGGUGACAGCCCCGUACACAAAAAUGCACAUGCUGUGAGCUCGAUGAGUAGGGCGGGACACGUGGUAUCCUGUCUGAAUAUGGGGGGACCAUCCUCCAAGGCUAAAUACUCCUGACUGACCGAUAGUGAACCAGUACCGUGAGGGAAAGGCGAAAAGAACCCCGGCGAGGGGAGUGAAAAAGAACCUGAAACCGUGUACGUACAAGCAGUGGGAGCACAGAGCAAUCUGUGUGACUGCGUACCUUUUGUAUAAUGGGUCAGCGACUUAUAUUCUGUAGCAAGGUUAACCGAAUAGGGGAGCCGAAGGGAAACCGAGUCUUAACUGGGCGUUAAGUUGCAGGGUAUAGACCCGAAACCCGGUGAUCUAGCCAUGGGCAGGUUGAAGGUUGGGUAACACUAACUGGAGGACCGAACCGACUAAUGUUGAAAAAUUAGCGGAUGACUUGUGGCUGGGGGUGAAAGGCCAAUCAAACCGGGAGAUAGCUGGUUCUCCCCGAAAGCUAUUUAGGUAGCGCCUCGUGAAUUCAUCUCCGGGGGUAGAGCACUGUUUCGGCAAGGGGGUCAUCCCGACUUACCAACCCGAUGCAAACUGCGAAUACCGGAGAAUGUUAUCACGGGAGACACACGGCGGGUGCUAACGUCCGUCGUGAAGAGGGAAACAACCCAGACCGCCAGCUAAGGUCCCAAAGUCAUGGUUAAGUGGGAAACGAUGUGGGAAGGCCCAGACAGCCAGGAUGUUGGCUUAGAAGCAGCCAUCAUUUAAAGAAAGCGUAAUAGCUCACUGGUCGAGUCGGCCUGCGCGGAAGAUGUAACGGGGCUAAACCAUGCACCGAAGCUGCGGCAGCGACGCUUAUGCGUUGUUGGGUAGGGGAGCGUUCUGUAAGCCUGCGAAGGUGUGCUGUGAGGCAUGCUGGAGGUAUCAGAAGUGCGAAUGCUGACAUAAGUAACGAUAAAGCGGGUGAAAAGCCCGCUCGCCGGAAGACCAAGGGUUCCUGUCCAACGUUAAUCGGGGCAGGGUGAGUCGACCCCUAAGGCGAGGCCGAAAGGCGUAGUCGAUGGGAAACAGGUUAAUAUUCCUGUACUUGGUGUUACUGCGAAGGGGGGACGGAGAAGGCUAUGUUGGCCGGGCGACGGUUGUCCCGGUUUAAGCGUGUAGGCUGGUUUUCCAGGCAAAUCCGGAAAAUCAAGGCUGAGGCGUGAUGACGAGGCACUACGGUGCUGAAGCAACAAAUGCCCUGCUUCCAGGAAAAGCCUCUAAGCAUCAGGUAACAUCAAAUCGUACCCCAAACCGACACAGGUGGUCAGGUAGAGAAUACCAAGGCGCUUGAGAGAACUCGGGUGAAGGAACUAGGCAAAAUGGUGCCGUAACUUCGGGAGAAGGCACGCUGAUAUGUAGGUGAAGUCCCUCGCGGAUGGAGCUGAAAUCAGUCGAAGAUACCAGCUGGCUGCAACUGUUUAUUAAAAACACAGCACUGUGCAAACACGAAAGUGGACGUAUACGGUGUGACGCCUGCCCGGUGCCGGAAGGUUAAUUGAUGGGGUCAGCGCAAGCGAAGCUCUUGAUCGAAGCCCCGGUAAACGGCGGCCGUAACUAUAACGGUCCUAAGGUAGCGAAAUUCCUUGUCGGGUAAGUUCCGACCUGCACGAAUGGCGUAAUGAUGGCCAGGCUGUCUCCACCCGAGACUCAGUGAAAUUGAACUCGCUGUGAAGAUGCAGUGUACCCGCGGCAAGACGGAAAGACCCCGUGAACCUUUACUAUAGCUUGACACUGAACAUUGAGCCUUGAUGUGUAGGAUAGGUGGGAGGCUUUGAAGUGUGGACGCCAGUCUGCAUGGAGCCGACCUUGAAAUACCACCCUUUAAUGUUUGAUGUUCUAACGUUGACCCGUAAUCCGGGUUGCGGACAGUGUCUGGUGGGUAGUUUGACUGGGGCGGUCUCCUCCUAAAGAGUAACGGAGGAGCACGAAGGUUGGCUAAUCCUGGUCGGACAUCAGGAGGUUAGUGCAAUGGCAUAAGCCAGCUUGACUGCGAGCGUGACGGCGCGAGCAGGUGCGAAAGCAGGUCAUAGUGAUCCGGUGGUUCUGAAUGGAAGGGCCAUCGCUCAACGGAUAAAAGGUACUCCGGGGAUAACAGGCUGAUACCGCCCAAGAGUUCAUAUCGACGGCGGUGUUUGGCACCUCGAUGUCGGCUCAUCACAUCCUGGGGCUGAAGUAGGUCCCAAGGGUAUGGCUGUUCGCCAUUUAAAGUGGUACGCGAGCUGGGUUUAGAACGUCGUGAGACAGUUCGGUCCCUAUCUGCCGUGGGCGCUGGAGAAUUGAGGGGGGCUGCUCCUAGUACGAGAGGACCGGAGUGGACGCAUCACUGGUGUUCGGGUUGUCAUGCCAAUGGCACUGCCCGGUAGCUAAAUGCGGAAGAGAUAAGUGCUGAAAGCAUCUAAGCACGAAACUUGCCCCGAGAUGAGUUCUCCCUGACUCCUUGAGAGUCCUGAAGGAACGUUGAAGACGACGACGUUGAUAGGCCGGGUGUGUAAGCGCAGCGAUGCGUUGAGCUAACCGGUACUAAUGAACCGUGAGGCUUAACCU